GCAGGAAUAUCAAAGUGGAGCUAGGUGUCAAGGAGCAUGCACAUUGUGACAGCAAUCAAACCGGGAUUGACAAUAGUGUGGAUAGAAUAUUGAGGAUUGGUAUCCAGGAGAAUGCACAUCGUCACAACGAGCGAAAUGUGAUCGAUGGAUUGGCUCUAGAGCUGGAUGAAGUGUUGUAUUGAGCUGGAGAUGAGAAAGUGAGAAGCAUACCUCCCCGCAGGUGCUUUGUGUUGCUCUUUUUCUCAGUGUGUGCUAAUGUGUGAGAGUGAUCCCGGCGAGUUCUGAGUCACCGGAGUUUUGUUUAGGGGAGGAGCAAGGUGGGAGGGCUUUGGUAGUGUUGAUAGAACGCAGUUGUACUAAGUUGGUCAUGGUUGUAGUCUAAGUUGGACACGAUCGUUGCGAAAUUGCACAACACAGCCAUACUAAGUUGGCUAGAUGAUGAUUUUGCUUAAGUUUAUCUUUUUUUUGCUACUCACAUUUUUGUUGGUAUCCACAGUAGUUGUAGUUGCACACAUAGUAGUUCUCAGUUGGAUACGACCAUUGAGAAGUUGCAUAAUGCAGUGAUAUUAUGUCGGCUAGAUAACGUCUCCGCCACAGGACGUCGGAGCACUAAAACAUUUUUAUUACCAGACUUGCACCAAAGCAACAUAUUUUUAUUCAUACGUUCUUUUCAGUUGUGAUUGUAGUGUCUUAUUUGGAGUUGUACUAUGAACCGCCACUCCAUGCAUGUCCACCAAAAACUGGGCAGUAUCAACACGGGACAUCCUUGUCCGAUGUUGCAACGUUAGGGGUCUUAGGGUUAGUUAUUUAGAAGUUUUCGCAGAUUUUGUGUGAAUGUUUUUUAGCCAUUUGUGCAACCGGGGCAGCUUCCCUUGUGCAACCUGUUAUAUUGAACUCGCCAACUUCAUGUUAAAAAUAGCCAACCUAACUUUUUGUUUUUGAUGGAAUUUUUUGUUUUUGGCUGGCAGUUUUUUUGUACAACUAGGCAGCAAAUCAUGUGCAACUUUUAUUUUAAUUCAACCAGAGUAGUCUUUCUAAGGCUGCUAUUUUUUUAGUUGCACAGUGAGCAUGCAAACGAUGUGGAUCACACG
rnacentral:lncRNA from 1 species